UACCAGCACCCCGAGUGGUCGGGACGAUUAUUGGGCCUAAAGCAUCCGUAGCCGGUCAUGCAAGUCCUCCGUUAAAUCCAGCCGCUCAACGGUUAGGCUGCGGAGGAUACUACGUGGCUAGGAGGCGGGAGAGGCAAGCGGUACUCAGUGGGUAGGGGUAAAAUCCUUUGAUCCAUUGAAGACCACCAGUGGCGAAGGCGGCUUGCCAGAACGCGCUCGACGGUGAGGGAUGAAAGCUGGGGGAGCAAACCGG
rnacentral:rRNA from 1 species